AUUGAACGCUAGCGGGAUGCUUUACACAUGCAAGUCGAACGGAGUGGCGGACGGGUGAGUAAUAGAUAGGAACGUGGCUAGUAGCGGGGGAUAACUACUAGAAAGAGUGGCUACUGCCGCAAACUAUUGGAGCGGUCGAUAUUGGUUGAGCUAGUUGGGGGGGUAAAGGCUCACAAAGGCAACGAUCCGUAGCUGGUUUGAGAGGAGGACCAGCCACACUGGGACUGAGACACGGCCCAGACUCCUACGGGAGGCAGCAGUGGGGAAUUUUGGACAAUGGGGGAAACCCUGAGCCAGCCAUCCCGCGUGUAUGAUGAAGGCCUUCGGGUUGUAAAGUACUUUUGGCAGAGAAGCGGUAUCUGCACAGUAAGCACCGGCUAACUACGUGCCAGCAGCCGCGGUAAUAC
rnacentral:rRNA from 1 species